rnacentral:rRNA from 1 species
UACGGAGGGUGCGAGCGUUGUCCGGAAUCACUGGGCGUAAAGGGCGCGUAGGCGGGCUGAUAAGUCGGGGGUGAAAUCCUGCGGCUUAACCGCAGGGCUGCCUUCUAAACUGUCAGGCUAGAGCACAGUAGAGGCAGGUGGAAUUCCCGGUGUAGCGGUGGAAUGCGUAGAGAUCGGGAAGAACAUCAGUGGCGAAGGCGGCCUGCUGGGCUGUUGCUGACGCUGAGGCGCGACAGCGUGGGGAGCAAACAGG